rnacentral:rRNA from 1 species
GUGCCAGCCGCCGCGGUAAGACGUAGGGGGCGAGCGUUGUCCGGAAUUACUGGGCGUAAAGAGCACGUAGGCGGGACCUUAAGUCAGGUGUGAAAGACCGGGGCCUAACCCCGGGGUGGCACUUGAAACUGGGGUUCUUGAGGGCAGGAGAGGACAGUAGAAUUCCUGGUGUAGCGGUGAAAUGCGUAGAAAUCAGGAGGAAUACCAGUGGCGAAGGCGACUGUCUGGACUGACCCUGACGCUGAGGUGCGAAAGCGUGGGUAGCAAACAGGAUUAGAUACCCUGGUAGUCCACGCUGUAAACGAUGGAUACUAGGUGUGGGAGGUAUCGACCCCUUCCGUGCCGGAGCUAACGCAAUAAGUAUCCCGCCUGGGGAGUACGGUCGCAAGGCUGAAACUCAAAGAAAUUGACGG